rnacentral:rRNA from 1 species
GACGAACGCUGGCGGCGUGCUUAACACAUGCGAGUCGAACGGAAAGGCCCCUUUGGGGGUACUCGAGUGGCGCACGGGUGAGUAACACGUGAGUAACCUGCCCUUGACUUCGGGAUAACUUCAGGAAACUGGGGCUAAUACCGGAUAGGAAUCCUUGCUGCAUGGAGGGGGUUGGAAAGCUUCGGCGGAUUUGGAUGGACUCGCGGCUUAUCAGCUUGUUGGUGGGGUAGUGGCUUACCAAGGCUUUGACGGGUAGCCGGCCUGAGAGGGCGACCGGCCACAUUGGGACUGAGAUACGGCCCAGACUCCUACGGGAGGCAGCAGUGGGGAAUAUUGCACAAUGGGCGGAAGCCUGAUGCAGCAACGCCGCGGGCGGGAUGACGGCCUUCGGGUUGUAAACCGCGUUCAGCAGGGGCGAAGCUUGUGGUGACGGUACCUGCAGAAGAAGCACCGGCUAACUACGUG